GGAGCCGUGCCUGAAUAAAGGAUCGCUUUGAUAGAGCGAAACAUGAAGGUUAAAACCCUUCCGCCUCCU
rnacentral:tRNA from 1 species